rnacentral:tRNA from 1 species
UCGGGAUAGCUCAGUUGGUAGAGCAGAGGACUGAAAAUCCUCGUGCC